rnacentral:rRNA from 1 species
UCCUACGGGGGGCAGCAGUGAGGAAUAUUGGUCAAUGGGCGGGAGCCUGAACCAGCCAAGUCGCGUGAGGGAAGACGGUCCUAUGGAUUGUAAACCUCUUUAGGCGGGGAGCAAUGCCGGGCACGCGUGCCCGGAGGGAGAGUACCCGCAGAAUAAGCAUCGGCUAACUCCGUGCCAGCAGCCGCGGUAAUACGGAGGAUGCGAGCGUUAUCCGGAUUUAUUGGGUUUAAAGGGUGCGUAGGCGGACUGUCAAGUCAGCGGUAAAAUACGGGGGCUCAACCUCCGCCCGCCGUUGAAAGUGACGG